ACGGGAGGCAGCAGUGGGGAAUAUUGCACAAUGGGGGAAACCCUGAUGCAGCGACGCCGCGUGAGUGAUGAAGUAUUUCGGUAUGUAAAGCUCUAUCAGUAGGGAAGAAAAUGACGGUACCUAACUAAGAAGCCCCGGCUAACUACGUGCCAGCAGCCGCGGUAAUACGUAGGGGGCAAGCGUUAUCCGGAUUUACUGGGUGUAAAGGGAGCGUAGACGGUUUGGCAAGUCAGAAGUGAAAGGCGGGGGCUCAACCCCUGGACUGCUUUUGAAACUGUUAAACUAGAGUGUCGGAGAGGUAAGUGGAAUUCCUAGUGUAGCGGUGAAAUGCGUAGAUAUUAGGAGGAACACCAGAGGCGAAGGCGGCUUACUGGACGAUUACUGACGUUGAGGCUCGAAAGCGUGGGGAGCAAACAGGAUUAGAUACCCUGGUA
rnacentral:rRNA from 1 species